AUCUCUCAAAUAUAUCUCAAUUCAAUCUUAAUUUAAUCCUAGUUAAAAUCUUAUUAGACUUCAUUCAAAUCUUAGGCCAAAACUAAUUAAAUCUUAAAUCUUAAAUAAUUCCUAAUAAAAUCCUAAAUCCUAAAUCAAAUCCUAAAUCCUAAAUUAAAUCCUAAACCAAAUCCUAAACCCUAAACCAAAUCCUAAACCUUAAAUCAAACCCAAAAUCCUAAACCAAAUACUAAAUAAAAUCCUAAAUCCUAAACCAAACCUUAAUCAAAUCCUAAACCAAAUCUUAAAUCCUAAAUAAAAUCCUAAUCAAAUCCUAAAUCAAACCUUAAACCCUAAAUAAAAUCUUAACCAAACCUUAAAUCCUAAAUCAAAUCGUAACCAAACUCUAAAUCCUAAACCAAAUUCUAAAUUUUAAACCAAAUCCUAAAUCCUAAACCAAAUCCUAAACAAAUUCUAACCAAAUCUUAAUUAAAUCCUAAUCAAAUCCUAAUCAAAUCUUAAUCAAAUUCUAAUCAAAUCCUAAACUCUAAAAUAAAUCCUAAUAAAUCCUAAAUCAAACUUUAAACCUUAACCAAAUCCUAGUAAUUCCUACAAUAGAUUUAAACUUCAAUAACUAAUGAAUUAACCAUUGAUCUUAACUCAAAUUUUUCAUAUUUCUUGAAAAAUA
rnacentral:lncRNA from 1 species